CCUACGGGAGGCUGCAGUGGGGGAUAUUGCACAAUGGGGGAAACCCUGAUGCAGCGACGCAGCGUGGGUGAAGAAGCGCCUCGGCGCGUAAAGCUCUGUCAGCAGGGAAGUAAAUGACGGUACCUGAAGAACAAGCCCCGGCUAACUACGUGCCAGCAGCCGCGGUAAUACGGAGGGGGCAAGCGUUAUCCGGAUUUACUGGGUGUAAAGGGGGCGCAGACGGCGAUGCAAGCCAGGAGUGAAAGCCCGGGGCUCAACCCCGGGACUGCUCGUGGAACUGCGUGGCUAGAGUGCAGGAAGGGCAGGCGGAAUUCCUGGUGUAGCGGUGAAAUGCGUAGAUAUGAGGAGGAACACCGGUGGCGAAGGCGGCCUGCUGGACUGCAACUGACGUUGAGGCCCGAAAGCGUGGGGAGCGAACAGGAUUAGAUACCCUGGUAGUC
rnacentral:rRNA from 1 species